rnacentral:rRNA from 1 species
CGAAUGCUGACAUAAGUAACGAUAAAGCGGGUGAAAAGCCCGCUCGCCGGAAGACCAAGGGUUCCUGUCCAACGUUAAUCGGGGCAGGGUGAGUCGACCCCUAAGGCGAGGCCGAAAGGCGUAGUCGAUGGGAAACAGGUUAAUAUUCCUGUACUUGGUGUUACUGCGAAGGGGGGACGGAGAAGGCUAUGUUGGCCGGGCGACGGUUGUCCCGGUUUAAGCGUGUAGGCUGGUUUUCCAGGCAAAUCCGGAAAAUCAAGGCUGAGGCGUGAUGACGAGGCACUACGGUGCUGAAGCAACAAAUGCCCUGCUUCCAGGAAAAGCCUCUAAGCAUCAGGUAACAUCAAAUCGUACCCCAAACCGACACAGGUGGUCAGGUAGAGAAUACCAAGGCGCUUGAGAGAACUCGGGUGAAGGAACUAGGCAAAAUGGUGCCGUAACUUCGGGAGAAGGCACGCUGAUAUGUAGGUGAGGUCCCUCGCGGAUGGAGCUGAAAUCAGUCGAAGAUACCAGCUGGCUGCAACUGUUUAUUAAAAACACAGCACUGUGCAAACACGAAAGUGGACGUAUACGGUGUGACGCCUGCCCGGUGCCGGAAGGUUAAUUGAUGGGGUUAGCGCAAGCGAAGCUCUUGAUCGAAGCCCCGGUAAACGGCGGCCGUAACUAUAACGGUCCUAAGGUAGCGAAAUUCCUUGUCGGGUAAGUUCCGACCUGCACGAAUGGCGUAAUGAUGGCCAGGCUGUCUCCACCCGAGACUCAGUGAAAUUGAACUCGCUGUGAAGAUGCAGUGUACCCGCGGCAAGACGGAAAGACCCCGUGAACCUUUACUAUAGCUUGACACUGAACAUUGAGCCUUGAUGUGUAGGAUAGGUGGGAGGCUUAGAAGUGUGGACGCCAGUCUGCAUGGAGCCGACCUUGAAAUACCACCCUUUAAUGUUUGAUGUUCUAACGUUGACCCGUAAUCCGGGUUGCGGACAGUGUCUGGUGGGUAGUUUGACUGGGGCGGUCUCCUCCUAAAGAGUAACGGAGGAGCACGAAGGUUGGCUAAUCCUGGUCGGACAUCAGGAGGUUAGUGCAAUGGCAUAAGCCAGCUUGACUGCGAGCGUGACGGCGCGAGCAGGUGCGAAAGCAGGUCAUAGUGAUCCGGUGGUUCUGAAUGGAAGGGCCAUCGCUCAACGGAUAAAAGGUACUCCGGGGAUAACAGGCUGAUACCGCCCAAGAGUUCAUAUCGACGGCGGUGUUUGGCACCUCGAUGUCGGCUCAUCACAUCCUGGGGCUGAAGUAGGUCCCAAGGGUAUGGCUGUUCGCCAUUUAAAGUGGUACGCGAGCUGGGUUUAGAACGUCGUGAGACAGUUCGGUCCCUAUCUGCCGUGGGCGCUGGAGAACUGAGGGGGGCUGCUCCUAGUACGAGAGGACCGGAGUGGACGCAUCACUGGUGUUCGGGUUGUCAUGCCAAUGGCACUGCCCGGUAGCUAAAUGCGGAAGAGAUAAGUGCUGAAAGCAUCUAAGCACGAAACUUGCCCCGAGAUGAGUUCUCCCUGACUCCUUGAGAGUCCUGAAGGAACGUUGAAGACGACGACGUUGAUAGGCCGGGUGUGUAAGCGCAGCGAUGCGUUGAGCUAACCGGUACUAAUGAACCGUGAGG